AGUAAGGAGAGAGAAAUGGACAAGAAAGAUUUGGACAAGUCAAGGGAAAGAUCCAGAGAAAGAGAGAAAAAAGAUGAAAAGGACAGGAAAGAGCGGAAAAGGGUGAGAUCGGACUGGAACUGUUCGGCUGCGACCAGAAAUUUAUUUUCCUGAGUAAAUUGCCGAGAAUUAAGAAUGAAGAGGGCCAUUUGCAUCUCCUUAAAUUAUUCAGUUACCUGCUUUAUUGCUCCAUGUGGAAAACUUAAAAUUGUUAAGUUGUGCAUUACUGUAUUUUAACUUGUUGCUUAGUUUCUACAUGUUUAUUUUCAGUAAUGGCUGAAAGUGUUAACUGUUCCAUACUUUUAGCACAAUGUGCUGCAUAAGGUUACCUGUGUACAGAGUUUUACUUUAGAUUAACUAAAUAUUGCCUGGGUUCAGUUUUUAUUUCCAUUCUGAAAUGCUUCCUUUUUAUUGUUUGAAACUGAAAAUAAACAAUUGUUGAACCCUUUUGAUUUUACCUCAUUUUAAAACUGUUUUAAUUUAUUAUUUGGCUUGUUCUUAAUAUUAGUCACUAAAAGCAGUGGGAGCAUUGUCUUAUGAAAUGCUUAGGAAUCAUUUUAUAUAGUACAUGUACAACAUUAAACGUGUUUAAAAAAGAAAAA
rnacentral:lncRNA from 1 species